GAUGAAGAACGCAGCGAAACGCGAUAGUUAAUGUGAAUUGCAGAAUUCAGUGAAUCAUCGAGUCUUUGAACGCACAUUGCGCCCCCUGGUAUUCCGGGGGGCAUGCCUAUCCGAGCGUCAUUGCCGCCCUCAAGCACGGCUUGUGUGUUGGGCCCCCGCCCCCCGGCUUCGGGGGGCGGGCCCGAAAGGCAGCGGCGGCACCACGUCCGGUCCUCGAGCGUAUGGGGCUUCGUCACCCGCUCUGUAGGCCCGGCCGGCGCCCGCCGGCGACCCCAAUCAAUCUUUCCAGGUUGACCUCGGAUCAGGUAGGGAUACCCGCUGAACUUAAGCAUAUCAAUAAGCGGAGGA
rnacentral:misc_RNA from 1 species